rfam:Rattus norvegicus chromosome 5, whole genome shotgun sequence.
AGUUAUUUUGGCUAUGAAAUCUGCUACCUCAGAUAUCAGGUUGGUUGGGCUGAUAUGACUGACUAGGUGGUGGCCCUUCCUUCCCCACUGUUCUAUGUGCACCCCUCCCCAAGAUGUAUGCUGUUUUGAAGAGGGUGAUCUCCCCCCCCCCUUCUGGACUGAUGUCAAGGGUAUACAAACAGUUGGUUUCCUUGCAUGAACUUCCAAACAAGCUCUCUAAAUGCCUGAAACUAUAGUUCUGUCAUUAUUGAAACCUUUCAUCCAAAAUUAUAGUGAAUCUUU